UGGUUCUGGCUCUGGAGUGGAAAUUCCCAGAAGCAGCCUUAAAAGGAGCCGCCUCCCUCCAGGGGGCAGCUCCGGGGUCUCCUCUCCGCAGGCUCUUCCUCGGGAACCCAGCCCAGGAGUGGGUGCUGCCUGAGCUUGUGUGGGGAGGAUGGGGCAAGCCCUGGCCUUGCUUACCUGGGGGAGUCCAGGGUUUUGGAAUGCAACUCAAAGAAUGUCAAACCUAGAAGGGGUCUUAGGGAUUCAUCAUUUGUUCCAACUUCCUCAUUCCUUGGAUGAGAGCCAGAGAGGGCAAGGGACUCGCCCAAAGCCUCACAGCUAGCUGGUGGCAUGGCUGGGACAAGGUACCAGGUGCCCGCGUGCCCACCUCUCUGCUUUCCCCCUGCGGAUCCUUCAGGUCACUUCUGUUCCGCGUUCUUCCCAUCAUCUGCAGUCUGGGUUACACUCUGCCUCUUCUGGCAGCUCUGGCUCAUUCCCUGAGAAACCUUCAACCUCACAUCCACAUCCUCACCACUCCCAGCCCCCAGGCAGGGCAUUAAAGAGAGCACAGACACGUGGAGGGGACAGCUCAGGCCUUGGGUUGGUGGAGGUGUCAGCUGGGGGGCGAAAGGUGGGUAACGGUUCCAAUUUAUGCUGUCGGGACUCACUGGCCAUGGGGACAGUGGGAGCCACUCAAGGCCUCUGAGCCCAAGCACCUGUUUCUAUCCAUGGGGACAGGGCCUGCCAUCACUGGCCCAGCCCUCAGGCCAGCCUGGGUCUCCAUGGUAACAGAUGCCAGCAGUCAAGCUGGGCCUCGGGGCUUAGCCAGGGGGUUAGCUCUGGGCAUGGCUGGAUGGCCUGUGUCACAGGCAAGACAGCUGUGGCUCCUUGUCCCUUCCUGUUGGGCACCUGCAGGCCUGGCCUUCUAACUUGGUUUGCUCCUUUACGCCCAUGGGGAAGCCAGUGGUGGGCCCCAAGUGGGGAGGCAGCAUGGAGCCCUUGAUUUUAUCCCCGCCCCUUUGCCCUGGUCCUUAUACGCUGUGUGACCUGUGGCAAGUCCCUUCACUUCUCUGGUUUCAGGGUCCCAGUUUAUAAAAAGGAAAUGGCUACCAGCAGGGAUACUGUCAAAACCACCGCCAUCCACGUCAGCUGAGAUAAAGGACUCACAGAAACGCAUCAAGUGCCACAAGAAUGGGGGCAGGGGCCCUUUUUGUGGCUUAGCCUCAGUUGACCUAAACUGUCAGACUCUCUCCCUUGACUGGAGUGAGCUCGGGGAAAGGGGGAGGGAAGAAGGGUGGGGUUUAUUAACAUUCAUUGCUGGGGGGGUGGGGUUCAGGAGGUGAUAAGGGAACUGAGAAGUAGCCUGGGCUGCUGUGGUUAAUCCUCACCCCAUAGUGCCAAGUUCAACACCCCCCAGCUGGGGUCGUCUCACGCCUGCCUCUCCUAACAGCCCAGCUGGUGCAAACACAGAGCCCACCUGCAGGUCAGCCACUUGCCACCACCUGCUUGAGCCCAGCCCACCCUCUUCCUGCUGAAAAACAGAAGAGUUGGGGCAGGGGAAGGGCAAAGGGCAGAGGGCAAAGGGCACCCUAGCAAUGAGGAUGGACCCUCACCUUUGCAAAUUUUUCUUUUUUGAGACGGAGUUUCAUUCUUGUUGUUCAGGCUGGAGUGCAAUGGCGCGAUCUCAGCUCACUGCAACCUCUGCUUCCUGGGUUCAAAUGAUUCUCAUGCCUUAGCCUCCCAAGUAGCUGGGAUUACAGGUGCCCGCCACCACACCCAGCUAAUUUUGUAUUUUUAGUAGAGACGGGGUUUCUCCGUGUUGGUCAGGCUGGUCUCAAACUCCCGACCUCAAGUGAUCUGCC
rnacentral:lncRNA from 10 species